AGGGUUCGAUUCUGGCUCAGACGAACGCUGGCGGCAGGCUUAACACAUGCAAGUUGAGCGGGAACCGAGGAUAGCUUGCUAUUGAGGGGAGAGCAGCGCACUGGUGAGUAACACGUGGGAACAUGCCUUUUGGUGGGGGACAACAGUUGGAAACGACUGCUAAUACCGCAUAAGCCCUGAGGGGGAAAGAUUAAUUGCCGAAAGAUUGGCCCGCGGAAGAUUAGGUAGUAGGUGGGGUAACGGCCUACCUAGCCGACGAUCUAUAGCUGGUCUGAGAGGACGAUCAGCCACAUUGGAACUGAGACACGGUCCAGACUCCUACGGGAGGCAGCAGUGAGGAAUAUUGGGCAAUGGAGGAAACUCUGAACCCCCAGCCAUGCCGCGUGAGUGAAGAAGGUUUUCGGAUUGUAAAGCUCUUUCAGACGGGAAGAUGAUGACGGUACCGUCAGAAGAAGCACCGGCUAACUUCGUGCCAGCCGCCGC
rnacentral:rRNA from 1 species